UACGUAGGGGGCAAGCGUUGUCCGGGUUUAUUGGGCGUAAAGAGCGUGUAGGCGGCCAGACAGGUCAGCUGUGAAAACUCGAGGCUCAACCUCGAGACGUCGGUUGAAACCGUCUGGCUAGAGUCCGGAAGAGGAGAGUGGAAUUCCCGGUGUAGCGGUGAAAUGCGCAGAUAUCGGGAAGAACACCCGUGGCGAAGGCGGCUCUCUGGGACGGUACUGACGCUGAGACGCGAAAGCGUGGGGAGCGAACAGG
rnacentral:rRNA from 1 species